GAAAGAAAUGUGUCAGUCAAGUUAAUAACAGGAAACUAGACACUCAGCUGAAGAUAGAGGGCAAUCGAUAACAAAACGGCCUGCCAUCGCCUCGCCUACACAGGUGUCAUCAUCAGCUGUGUCGAUGCAUACUCAGGAAUACCAAUUUUCCAACCAGAGGCAUUUUGAUAUUUAUUUUGUUUAGAGAUAAAAUAUCGAGAAAGGUCUGUUUCAGGUAGCACGCAAGCUAGUUAUCUAACUAAAGCUAGCUUGCAUUUACCUGCACAUAGUUAGCUGCUAGCUAGCUAAUUGCUGAUGGAGUUUGUUAGCAAUUAGCAAGCUUGCUAACGUUAGCUGCGGACAGAGCCUGUUGGCUAUAUAAUGUAACGUUAGCUAUUUAGCCAAAGAAGCCUUAACCACCUUUCGGAUUCUGUCGAGUUGUAAACGUAAUUAAUGUUAGCUGGCCAGCUAAGUAGUUAGCUAGCUAGUUAGGUAAUUGAACUGUAAUGAAUUUACAUGCUCGCUGCUUUCUUGCAUUUGGUAUCUAGCUUACCAACCCAGCUAGCUAGGUUUGAGAUAUUGUUUACAUGGAACACCGGAAACUUGCUUGCUUUGCGAUGCAAAUCUGAUGGCACGAGCAACAUAGACUAGCUAGGUUCAUAGAAUGACGUCAAUGCCCAGACCUUUACAUGGACAUAGGAGGCUAACAACAGCAAGGGAAUGUUUUUUUUUCAUCUCUAAGGUCCAAUAUCCAAUGUCAAUAUUUGGGUGCCGUCUCUCCCUAAAUAUGGUAAAUGCGUUUGAAUGAAGAUCCAGCUGCGAGGAACACAAAGCCUGUUCUCUUGUCGGUGUUGAGGAGAUGUCAUUGACAGCAGCAUGCAUUUUGCUGGCAGGAGCAGCACCGAUGCCCCCAUGUCUAGCGCCGCCUCCAUCGGUUCCUCUUUUCGUUUCUUGCCCGUCAUCUGCUUGGGAAUCGCCGCAGCAUUACUUUUUCAGUUUGGAUAUGGGGGGCUCACCAUAACGUCAUUUUUUCUGAAGCUUUUUAUUUAUAUCUCCUUUGCAUUGUUCUGCUUCUUGUUGGGAAGCUUUGGUCUCCUCGUUAAAAAGGGUCCUCCUAAAAUCAGCCGAUUUGAAACUUCAAAGAGACAGUCUGCUUACCUGUUGGACUUGUUUAACAAAUUAAUGGGAAGGUUCACCGUGCCACUUUUGGAGUCUGCGCAGACAAGAAGAGUGGUGGUAUCACACAAUGUGGACAAGGCCCUUAAAGAAGUGUUUGACUACAGCUACAGGGACUAUGUCCUGUCGUGGUAUGUGCCGCUGAGCCGCGACGAGGGACAGCUCUACCAGAUGCUGUCGGAGGACUUCUGGGAGAUGGCCAAGCAGCUGCGGGGCCGCCUGGCAGACGUCGACAUGGUCAACGUGGUCUGCAAUGACACCGUCAAGACCCUCCAUGCACACUUCUGUGACCUCAAGACGGCCAAUACCAGGCAGGAGGAGUUGCCCAAGCCCUUCCCCCUGCACCAGUGUCUGCAGAGCCCUGAGGAGGAGCUACGGUUCCUGCGCUGCUGUGCCCGCCUGCUCAUGCUGUGCCUGCUGCCCACACGAGACGCCCGCUCCUACAGCCUGCGCGUGGUUCUAGUGGAGGUUAUCACCACCAAAGUGCUGAAGCCGCUGGUGGAGGUGCUGAGUGACCCAGACUUCCUGAACCUCAUGCUGCUGUCUCAGCUGGAGCACCGCGAGCAGCUCAACGAGCACCACAAGAAGGCCUAUACCUACGCCCCGUCCUACGAGGAGUUCAUCAAGCUCAUCAGCUCCUCCUCAGACAUCGACUUCCUCAAACAGCUCAGGUACCAGAUCGUGGUGGAGAUCAUUCAGGCCACCACCAUCAGCAGCCUCCCCCAGCUGAAGAAACAGAAAGACAGUAAAGGGAAGGAGACUGCAGCCAUGAAGGCCGACCUGCUCAGAGCACGCAACAUGAAGCGCUACAUCAACCAGCUGACUGUGGCCAAGAAGCAGUGUGAAAAACGCAUCCGUCUCCUGGGGGGCCCCAACUACGAACAGCAGGAGGAGGGCUGCACGGACGAGGGAGAGGGGCCCCAGAGUCAGAGGAUCCUCCAAUUUGAAGAGAUCAUGUCUAACCCAGGGUUCCGGGAGCACUUCCGUGUCUACAUGGAGCGAGUGGACAAAAGGGCUCUCAUCAGCUUCUGGGAGCUAGUGGAGAUGCUCAAGACUGCCAACAAGAACGAGGUUCCCCAGCUGGUGGGGGAGAUCUACCAGAACUUCUUUGUGGAGAGCAGGGAGAUCCCGGUGGAGAAAGCCCUGUACAAGGAGAUCCAGCAGACCCUGGUGGGGAACAAGGGCACGGACGUGUUCCACCGGAUCCAGGGAGAUGUGUAUGAGACCAUGAAGGAGCGCUACUACCCGUCCUUCCUGGUCUCUGACCUCUACGAGAGGCUCAUCAGGAGAGAGGAGCAGCAGUGCAGCUCCCAGUCCAGCAGCGAGGACAAGGACGAAGGGCUCCAGGUUCUGGAGGGAGGGGAGGAGGCGCUGGACGAAGGCACUAAAGGCAUCAAUGAGCAGGCCAGCUACGCUGUCAACAAGCUGCGCCAGCUCUACGACAAGCUGGAGUACAAACGUCAGGCCCUGGGCUCCAUCCAAAAUGCCCCCAAGCCAGACAAAAAGAUUGUGUGUAAACUGAAGGAGGAGAUUGGGGCCAUGGAGAAGGAGCACAGUGACCUGCAGCUGCACAUCUCCCGCACAGACUGGUGGUGUGAGAACUUGGGCUCCUGGAGGGCCCUCAUCACAACAGCUGAGGCAGUAGAGGAGAAUGGAGAGCAGAUGCCUUGCUACUGCGUCUCAGUGAGCCUGCUGGAGGGAGACGACUCUAAGAACAGCCGCUGGAGUGUCACCAGGAAGCUCAUAGAGUUCCAGGCCCUGCACCGAAAACUGACUGAGUGUUUCCCUACCUUGAAAAAAGUCCAGCUUCCCUCCGUCAGUAAACUGCCAUUCAAGUCAAUUGACCAAAAAUUCCUUGAAAAGUCCAAAAACCAGCUCAACAGCUUUUUACAAAAAAUGCUGACAGACGAGCGGAUGUGUCAGAGUGAGGCGCUCUAUGCCUUCCUCAGCCCCUCCCCAGAGCACCUGAAGGUCAUGGACAUCCACAAGAAAUCCUCCUUCUCCCUGGCCUCCUUCCUGGAGAGACUGUCUGGAGACUUCUUCUCACACACCGAGGAGGAGGCGGAGGAUGACAGUGACCUAUCUGACUAUGGAGACGAGGCUGAUGGGAAGAAAGACGCUCUGGCUGAACCCUGCUUCAUGCUCAUAGGAGAGAUCUUUGAGCUCAGAGGAAUGUUUAAAUGGGUACGAAAAACUCUAAUUGCACUAGUUCAAGUCACGUUUGGAAGGACCAUAAACAAGCAGAUUCGAGACACUGUCAACUGGAUCUUCAGUGAGCAGAUGAUUGUUUGCUACAUCAACAUUUUCCGUGACACAUUCUGGCCCAACGGAAAACUGGCCCCCCAAAUCAAGGCUCGGUCCGACACAGAACGUCGGGAGACCAAGGAGAGAGCUCAACAGAAGCUGCUAGACAAUAUCCCAGACAUGUUGCUCCUAGAUCUGAUGGGUAUCUGUGGCUGGAUCUCUGAAUGUGGACAUUUUUACAUUUUACAAUUUGGUCAUUUAGCAGACGCUCUUAUCCAUGGUGACUUAGUCAGGUCAUUCGACUAAGGUAGGUAAAACAACCACAUACAGCAUGCUAACUGUCUUUCAGAUGCACUACAGAACCUGGUGGGACAGCAGAACGCCAGGUAUGGGAUCAUCAAGAUCUUCAACGCACUUCAGGAGGCCAAUGCCAACAAGCAUCUGCUUUAUGUUCUGAUGGAGAUGAUCCUCAAAGAGCUGUGUCCAGAACUCAACGUGGAGACAGACCAGAUCUGAUGGGGCGAGGCCCAUAUGUACGCAAAACACAGCAUAGUGUGGUUAAUGUGGAGCAAGAACCCUAGGGCAUCCUAUUCCCUCCCUCAAAGGGCAUAGGGUGCCAUUUAAUAUAGUGUACUACUUUUGACCAGAGGGCAUAAAGUUGUGCACUAUAGGGAAUAGGGUGCCGUUUGGGGACGCAGCCUAACACACACACACUGAGUGAAGGAAAUGGAGGUGCACCUGGAGAUCGUCAUGGCUUUAGUUUAGUCUUGGUUUUCAGAGGAGAGACACUCGUUGAAGGAUUAUGUAUUAUCUUUUGUUCAAACUAGAUUUUUUUUUAUUUUAACUCAACAGAAAGAUCAUGAAGAGAAAUGUAACAUCAACACAGAGGUACUGUAAUGUUCCAGCAUGGUACAGUAAACAAUGAGAUUAAACUGAAUGGAUGAUGUAUUUUCUGUUGUUCUGCGGUACUUUUAUCUGAAUGCAUUUGAUUAUGUAGUGCUCAAACUAGGGAGACAAGCUUCUGUUCUUGUUACUACCUUACAUUUCUUUGUUUUGUUCAGUAGCUCAAAAUGACAAAUCAGUCCCACUGCCAAGGUCUGUUGCAGAAAGCCAGGCUAUUGAUUGAUUACUUUGUUAUGGAUCCAAAAUGUGAAUAGUUGUGAAAUUAUGAGUGUUGUGCUCAUAUAAUGAAGAAACAAGCUGCAUACCGACCUCAAAUACAUUCCCCACCAAUGUUACAUUAUGUUCAUUGUAGAACGGCUUCAUUGUGCAA